UCAAAUCACUGUGGAAUGGGCUCUCCUGCCACCUUCUCAUGUGUAUGAAAAUCCAGAAACCAGACAAAAUGUUCUUCGUCUUUAUCUGCCUCACUGCAGAUUGAAACCUGGAUUCCCUCCCUGCCCUGAGAUUAUUCAGCACUGUACAAUAUAAAUGGCACACGGUGGAACACAGGGAUAGUCAAGCAAUACUGGAAGAAUUAAGAGAUAAAGAAAGAAAUAACACCGAAGGGGCAGGGAUUUAGCUCAGUGGUUCAAGUGCUUACUUGGUGACCAUUGGGUGCAGGCUGGCACCUCCUUCCUGAGCUGGGGAUAUGCAGUGACAGAGGGGAGCAGUGGACCAGAGAAAUACACUGGCUAGUGACAGGUUUCACCAUGCAUUUCAAGCUUUCUUUGAAUUCACUAUAAGAUCUAGGUUGGCCUCAAACUUGCAGUGAGUCUCGUGCCUCAGCCUCCUGGGCGCU